CCGUAGGUGAACCUGCGGAGGGAUCAUUAAAGAGUUUUUGCAACUCCCAAACCCCUGUGAACAUACCUUCUGUUGCCUCGGCAGGCCCUGGCCUACCCUGUAGCGCCCCUACAUUGUAGGGCUUGCUUUAGGGGGGCGCUGGGGGAACCUGCCGGCGGCCCGCAAAACUCUGUUUAGCAUUGAAUUCUGAACGUAUAACUAAAUAAGUUAAAACUUUCAACAACGGAUCUCUUGGUUCUGGCAUCGAUGAAGAACGCAGCGAAAUGCGAUAAGUAAUGUGAAUUGCAGAAUUCAGUGAAUCAUCGAAUCUUUGAACGCACAUUGCGCCCAUUAGUAUUCUAGUGGGCAUGCCUGUUCGAGCGUCAUUUCAACCCUUAAGCCCUUGUUGCUUAGCGUUGGGAGCCUACGGAAGCGUAGCUCCCUAAAGUUAGUGGCGUGGUCGGUUCACACUCCAGGCGUAGUAGAUUUUCACCUCGCCUGUAGCUGGACCGGUCCCCUGCCGUAAAACACCCCAAUUUUUAAAGGUUGACCUCGGAUCAGGUAGGAAUACCCGCUGAACUUAAGCAUAUCAAUAAGCGGAGGA
rnacentral:rRNA from 1 species